ACAAGCACACCCCAAGAUCCCAGCCCCCAAGUUGAAGCUGGUCAAAAUUAUAUCCAUCUUAAAACCACUCCUGCACCGUCAUCUCCUCCAAACACCCAUCUCAAAACCACCUCCAACCUCAUCGCAGGCCCAUCUCAAAACCACCUACUGCACCAUCUUCCCACCACCAUUGCAAUCGCAGAUCUAAAAUAGUGAUUUGGGGGUUGGGCGGUGGAUCUGAGAUCUGAAAUUGCGAUUUGGGGGUUGGGCGAAGUGACAACCGUGAAUGUUAUUAGUUGCAGAGGUUCUAGAAGGGGUGGUUGGGGUAGCAGUGGCGGCAGUUGGUUCUCUUCAAAUGAUGAAGGGGAUAGCUUCAGGCGAGGUGGUAGGAGUGGCGGCAGAGGCGGUUCUAGAAGUGAUGGAGUUGCUUAUCAUGGUGGUGAUGGUGUUGGUGAUUAUGAUGGGGCUGUGAAGGAUGAGGUUAACGAUUGGUUGUGGGGUUUAAAGGAUAAAAUUGUUGGGGUUUUUUUUGGGUAAUUACUCAAGUCUUUUUAAUCACCUUAAUGGAUUGAUUGGGUUGUUAAUUUUGGAUUGAGUUGGAGUCAGCCGCCCGAAAUUAUCCGAAAGGUGAACGUCCGAAGCUAAGGGCUUGGUUUAUGUCGGUUAUUGUGCCAUUUCCUUGUUUUUUAUAUUGUUUUUUUUCAGUGACGGUUGAGAUUGGGUUCUUUUGAAAAUGUUGAAGCUUCAAUAAAUCAAUGGAGGAUGGAGAAGAUGUACAGGAUAAGAGUAGGUUGAGGAUUUUUAUUUUA